GGAGUUAUUAAAAUUUUUUAAAUAAAAAUACACGAAAAUAGUUGAGCUAAUUAAUUAUAAUUGUUAGAUUAUCAUAUGUAACAUAAUAUAAAUAAAUAAUUAUUUAGGGGUGAUAGGCUUUUCAAAACUAUAAAUAUCUUGAUUCUUUUUAAAAACAUUUAGUGUAAUGUCAAUUAAGAAGUGAUAAGAUUUCUUAAUAACAUAAAUAGAUUUUAAAAUUUUAAUCCUAAUUUAAUCAUUAGAUGCUAUUUAAAAUAUUAUUCAUUUAUAAUAUAUUAUGGUUAAUAUAAAGAAAUAAUAAAACUAUAAAAAUAAUUUAAAAUGUAACUAUGAGUAAUUUAAAUAAAAAUGAAAAAUGAACUCGGCAAAUAGCCUUUCAACUGUUUACCAAAAACAUAGCUAUGUGUAUUUAUUCAUAGUAAUUUCUGCUCAAUGAAAUUUAAAUAGCCGCAGUACCCUGACUGUGCAAAGGUAGCGAAAUAAUUUGGCUUAUAAUUGAAGCCCAGUAUGAAUGAAAUUUUGAAGGGCGACUUUAUUUUUUAUAAAUAUUGAAGUUACUAAUUAAGUGCAAAUUCUUAUAUUUAAAUGAUAGACGAGAAGACCCUAGAAAUUUUCAUAAAAUUGAGUCUAUAUUUUUUGUUGGGGCAACAAGGUAACAUGGAAUUUACCGUAAAGUAACAAGAACAUUUAUGUGAUAGAAUAAAUUACUCUAGGGAUAACAGCGUAAUUUGUUAAAGUUUGCGACCUCGAUGUUGGACUAAGGAACUAUUGCUUAGAAGGCAUAAUGUAUGGCUCUGUUCGAGCUU
rnacentral:rRNA from 1 species